AUUGAACGCUGGCGGCAGGCCUAACACAUGCAAGUCGAGCGGAUGAAGGGAGCUUGCUCCUGGAUUCAGCGGCGGACGGGUGAGUAAUGCCUAGGAAUCUGCCUGGUAGUGGGGGAUAACGUCCGGAAACGGGCGCUAAUACCGCAUACGUCCUGCGGGAGAAAGUGGGGGAUCUUCGGACCUCACGCUAUCAGAUGAGCCUAGGUCGGAUUAGCUAGUUGGUGGGGUAAAGGCCUACCAAGGCGACGAUCCGUAACUGGUCUGAGAGGAUGAUCAGUCACACUGGAACUGAGACACGGUCCAGACUCCUACGGGAGGCAGCAGUGGGGAAUAUUGGACAAUGGGCGAAAGCCUGAUCCAGCCAUGCCGCGUGUGUGAAGAAGGUCUUCGGAUUGUAAAGCACGUUAAGUUGGGAGGAAGGGCAGUAAGUUAAUACCUUGCUGUUUUGACGUUACCAACAGAAUAAGCACCGGCUAACUUCGUG
rnacentral:rRNA from 1 species